GAUGAACGCUGGCGGCGUGCUUAAUACAUGCAAGUCGAACGAAGGUUGUAGCAAUACAUCCUUAGUGGCGAACGGGUGAGUAACGCGUUGGUGACCUGCCCCGAAGUGCGGGAUAACAGUCCGAAAGGAUUGCUAAUACCGCAUGGUUUCAUUUGGAUUAGAUGCCAGAUGAGCAAAGGCGAAAGUCGCUUCGGGAGGGGCUUGCGUCCCAUCAGCUAGUUGGUAGGGUAACGGCCUACCAAGGCUGCGAUGGGUAGCCGGCCUGAGAGGGUGUCCGGCCACACUGGAACUGAGACACGGUCCAGACUCCUACGGGAGGCAGCAGUGGGGAAUUUUGCGCAAUGGGCGAAAGCCUGACGCAGCGACGCCGCGUGGGUGAUGAAGUUCUUCGGAACGUAAAGCCCUGUCGGGAGGGACGAAGCUCUGACGGUACCUCCAAAGGAAGCCCCGGCUAACUCCGUG
rnacentral:rRNA from 1 species